rnacentral:misc_RNA from 1 species
GAUGAAGAACGUAGCGAAAUGCGAUACGUAGUGUGAAUUGCAGAAUUCAGUGAAUCAUCGAAUCUUUGAACGCACAUUGCACCUCUCGGUAUUCCGGGAGCUAUGCCUGUUCGAGCGUCAUUUGUACCCUCAAGCUCUGCUUGGUGUUGGGUGUUUGUUCCGCCUCUGUGUGUGAACUCGCCUCAAAACAAUUGGCAGCCGGCGUACUUGUUUCGGAGCGCAGCACAUUUUGCGAUCCAGAUCAACGUACAGCGGCAUCCAAGAAGCCUUAUUUAACGCUCUUGACCUCGGAUCAGGUAGGGAUACCCGCUGAACUUAAGCAUAUCAAUAAGCGGAGGA